rfam:Trachymyrmex cornetzi contig24827, whole genome shotgun sequence.
CAAUCGGCCCUUUUCAGGGCCACCAAACAUACUGUAAUUAUUGUGU